UACGUAGGCAGCGAGCGUUGUUCGGAAUACUGGGCGUAAAGCGUGCGCAGGCGGUUAUGUAAGACAGAUGUGAAAUGCCCGGGCUUAACCUGGGAACUGCAUUUGUGACUGCAUGGCUAGAGUGUGGCAGAGGGGGGGUAGAAUUCCACGUGUAGCAGUGAAAUGCGUAGAUAUGUGGAGGAACACCGAUGGCGAAGGCAGCCCCCUGGGUCAAGACUGACGCUCAUGCACGAAAGCGUGGGAGCAAACAGG
rnacentral:rRNA from 1 species